ensembl:snoRNA
GCAGGGAGAUGGACUGAUGGUGGGCCCUUCUCUGUGGGCCUCUCACAGUGUACCCGUGUGAGAGGGGCACGCAGCCCUGCACCAUGGCCCUGCUCCCGACUGGUGGACUGGGAGCACUGAAGGGGGCUGUAUGGUG